UUCUUUAGCGGUCCAGUGGUUAAGACUCCACAUUUCCAAUGUCGGGGUGGGGAGUGGGGGUCCAGGUUCAAUCCCUGGUAAGGGAA
rnacentral:tRNA from 1 species